UAGGGAAUCUUCGGCAAUGGACGAAAGCCUGACCGAGCAACGCCGCGUGAGGGAAGAAGGUUUUCGGAUCGUAAAACUCUGUUGUUAGAGAAGAACAAGGACGUUAGUAACUGAACGUAACCUGACGGUAUCUAACCAGAAAGCCACGGCUAACUACGUGCCAGCAGCCGCGGUAAUACGUAGGUGGCAAGCGUUGUGCGGAUUGAUUGGGCGUAAAGCGAGCGCAGGCGGCUUCUUAAGUCUGAUGUGAAAGCCCCCGGCUCAACCAGGGAAGGGCAUUGGAAACUGGGAGGCUAGAGUGCAGAAGAGGAGAGUGGAAUUCCAUGUGUAGCGGUGAAAUGCGUAGAUAUAUGGAGGAACACCAGUGGCGAAGGCGGUCCUCUGGGCUGUGACUGACGCUGAGGCUCGAAAGCGUGGGGAGCAAACAGG
rnacentral:rRNA from 1 species